UACGUAGGGCGCAAGCGUUAUCCGGAAUUAUUGGGCGUAAAGAGCUCGUAGGCGGUUUGUCGCGUCUGCCGUGAAAGUCCGGGGCUCAACUCCGGAUCUGCGGUGGGUACGGGCAGACUAGAGUGAUGUAGGGGAGACUGGAAUUCCUGGUGUAGCGGUGAAAUGCGCAGAUAUCAGGAGGAACACCGGUGGCGAAGGCGGGUCUCUGGGCCGUAACUGACGCUGAGGAGCGAAAGCAU
rnacentral:rRNA from 1 species